ACGAGUGACGGAGAGAGUCCUCUUAACGUUGCUUUAGACCUUGUUUACGUUUUUGUGGUGAGACACGAAGUUAUGAGUAUAAGUUUUUCAAGUUGAAAACGUGACACUGGAGUUACGCUAAUCUCCUUGUAGGCCGGGCCUCAAGAAUAUGACGAUCACAGUUUGACAUGACAAUUCUCACGCAGUACUUAAUUUAAUUUUAUUUAUUGAACUUAAAUUUAUUUUUUGAAUUUAAUAUUAUUUAUUGAAUGUAAUAUGAAUUAUUAAAUAUUUUUUUUGAAUCGCCUAAGCAUCUCGCGUCUAACAGCCAUAGAGUUUAAAGAAGAACCUUUCGGAUGCAAUUGACCAUUUAACGCUUGAUGGAAGGUCAAGUUGCUGAAAAUUAGAGUACUCUACUACUAAUCGGUUUUAAUGAAGGAUUUCUCCUUUACGCAUUAAUAAAAUAAUAUUACACCGUUGAUUUUCAUUCAACUUGUCGAUCAACUAGUUGAAUUUAUCAAUUAUUAUUUAUCUAGCGUUGUUAUUUUAAGUUUAACGGUUGAUUUAACGAGUUCGUUAAUUCAUCGCUAGGAUCGCUAGUGUAAGGCAGAUCCACACCUGCGCACGCGCACAAAUCGUGCACACAAUGCGCAUUAUAAGAACAUAAUUUGAUGUGGUUUG